rnacentral:rRNA from 1 species
GGGCGCAGCAGGCBCGAAACCUUUACAAUGCACGWAAGUGUGAUAAGGGAAUUCUGAGUGCUCAUGCAAAGCAUGGGCUUUUGCCAAGGGUAAAAACCUUGGCGAAUAAGUGGUGGGCAAGACUGGUGCCAGCCGCCGCGGUAACACCAGCGCCACUAGUGGGAACCAGAUUUAUUGGGCCUAAAGCGUCCGUAGCCGGUUUGGUAAAUCCUUUGUGAAAUUGUCAAGCCCAACUUGACAGCGUGCAGAGGAGACUGCUAGACUAGGGACCGGGAGGAGUGUGAGGUAUUCCUUGGGGAGCGGUAAAAUGUUAUAAUCCUUGGAAGACCACCUGUGGCGAAAGCGUCACACUAGAACGGAUCCGACGGUGAGGGACGAAAGCCAGGGGAGCGAUCCGGAUUAGAUACCCGAGUAGUCCUGGCCGUAAACUCUGCGAGUUAGGUGUUGCAUAUUCUUCGCGAAUAUGCAGUAUCGUAGCGAAGGCGUUAAACUCGCCGCCUGGGAAGUACGGUCGCAAGGCUGAAACUUAAAGGAAUUGGCGGGGAGCACUACAAGGGGUGCGGCGUGCGGUUUAAUUGAAUUCAACGCCGGAAAUCUCACCAAGGGCGACAGCAGGAUGAAGGUCAGAUUAAAGGUCUUACCUGACGCGCUGAGAGGUGGUGCAUGGCCGCCGUCAGCUCGUGCCGUAAGGUGUCCAGUUAAGUCUGGCAACGAGCGAGACCUGUAUCCACAAUUGCUAAUGCUCUUUUUAGAGGGUAUGCACAAUGUGGGGACUGCCUUGGAAACAAGGAGGAAGGCGCAGGCAACGGUAGGUCUGUAUGCCCCGAAUCCCUUGGGCUACACGCGCGCAACAAUGGUAGGGACAAUGGGAUGCAACUCCGAAAGGAGAAGCUAAACCUCUAAACCCUAUCUAAGUUCAGAUUGAGCUUUGAAACCCAGGCUCAUGACGACGGAAUCCCUAGUAAUCGGACGUCAACAUCGUCUGGUGAAUAUGUCCC